rnacentral:rRNA from 1 species
GAUGAACGCUGGCGGCGUGCCUAAUACAUGCAAGUCGAGCGAAUGGAUUAAGAGCUUGCUCUUAUGAAGUUAGCGGCGGACGGGUGAGUAACACGUGGGUAACCUGCCCAUAAGACUGGGAUAACUCCGGGAAACCGGGGCUAAUACCGGAUAACAUUUUGAACCGCAUGGUUCGAAAUGGAAAGGCGGCUUCGGCUGUCACUUACGGAUGGACCCGCGUCGCAUUAGCUAGUUGGUGAGGUAACGGCUCACCAAGGCAACGAUGCGUAGCCGACCUGAGAGGGUGAUCGGCCACACUGGGACUGAGACACGGCCCAGACUCCUACGGGAGGCAGCAGUAGGGAAUCUUCCGCAAUGGACGAAAGUCUGACGGAGCAACGCCGCGUGAGUGAUGAAGGCUUUCGGGUCGUAAAACUCUGUUGUUAGGGAAGAACAAGUGCUAGUUGAAUAAGCUGGCACCUUGACGGUACCUAACCAGAAAGCCACGGCUAACUACGUGCCAGCCGCCGCCGUA